rnacentral:misc_RNA from 1 species
GAUGAAGAACGCAGCGAAAUGCGAUACGUAGUGUGAAUUGCAGAAUUCAGUGAAUCAUCGAGUCUUUGAACGCAAGUUGCGCCCGAAGCCAUUAGGCCGAGGGCACGCCUGCCUGGGUGUCACACACCGUUACCCUCGCGCCAACGUCCAUCGUUGGCCGCGGCGCGGGGCGUGCGCUGACCUCCCGCGAGCGGGGUCUCGUGGUUGGUUGAAAAUCGAGUUCGCGGUCGAGGGUGCCGUGAUGAAAUGGUGGAUGGGCGACGCCCGAGGCCAAUCACGCGCGACUCUGUCCGGCUCGGACUCCUGGACCCCUUCGGCGUCUCCGGACGCUCUUUGGCGAGACCUCAGGUCAGGCGGGGCUACCCGCUGAGUUUAAGCAUAUCAAUAAGCGGAGGA